CCAGGCUGGUCUCAAACUCCUGGCCUCAUGUUAAUCUGCCUGCCUCGGCCUCUCAAAGUGUUGGGAUUACAGGUAUGAGCCACCGCGCCCGGCCAGGUAUCACCUUUUCUUCGUUAAAGCUCUGGCCACCUGUAUCCUGUGGAGAUCAAAUUCCUACAAACAGCUGCAGCCAAUCUUCCUUAUAUACCCAUGCCUUGCUGGGCAUAGGUUCUGGGACUACUGAAAUAAAUACAGCAUAGUUCAGUCUCUACCCUGCAUUGGAGUUCUGGGGAGCUGGGGGUAGGGGGUUAUAGAGAGACCAGUAAAUGCAUCAUUACAAUACAGGCAGUUAAGUGUAAUAGUGUGGGAAUGCUGUGGGACUACUGAGUCGGGGAGUGAGCCGAGUCAUGAGUGUUAAAUCCAGAUUAAGACUAACCAAGAUUAGGAGUUAACCAGGCAUAAAAGUGGGUUUUCAGACAGGGAUACAGCUCGUACCAACGCAAGGAAGUAUGGAGCAUACAGUGGCCUAGCUGGGAACAGCAAGGCCUGGUUUGACUGCAGCAGCCUGUGUAAGUUGGGGGAACAGCAGUGAAUGAUCCUAGAAAGCAGCAGGAGUUGUAUUAAGAGGUUGGCUGUCAGCAUUUAGUAUUCUUUUCUUGUGGGUGUUAAGAAGUGCUGGAAGAUAUUAAGCGGAAAGUCACAUGAUCCCGUGUGCAUUUUGGAGAAGUAACUGGUGCAGUGCGGACGGUCAGUUGGAGGGACUCUGGACUGGAUGGAAGUAGGGGUGCUAGCUAGGAGUCUAGUGCAUCAAUCCAUGCCAGAGAUGAGGACUGCAGGGGCUCACACAGGAGGAGAGGACAGGAGGGCGAAUUUAAAAGAUAAUACGAGGGAAUGGUAACAGCAUUUGGGCUACUUGGACUGUUGAAUACAAGAGAGAUAGAAUGUCCUGGCUUGGGUCAUCUGGCUAAAUAGCGGGGCCAUUACAGCCAUAGAUUCCUUUUGGUUCCACAGUCCAAUCCUUUCCUGUCUUGUGGUGCCACAUUAUAUGACUGUAUUACAUGACUUUGUCACAUGCUAUAAGAAGAGUAACUGCCAUGGAGUUGAGAAGGUAAGAGAAAGGUGAGUAGAAUGCUCAAAAACAUAAGAGUCAGAAAUUAUUAUAAGAUCAGUCAGGCAGGAAAUAUAAUGGUAAAGGCCGACAGCGAGACUUUGUCUUGGAAAAAGAUAAAAUACUAUAAAACCAAAAAGUCAAGAAAUUAUUAAGUAUUUUUAGUGGAGACAGGGUUUCACCAUGUUGGCCAGGAUGGUCUCGAUCUCUUGACCUCAUGGUCUACCCGCCUUGGCCUCCCAAAGUGCUGGGAUUAGAGGCGUGAGCCACUGUGUGGUGGUGGGCACCUGUAGUCCUAGCUGCUCGGGAGGCUGAGGCAGGAGAAUGGCUUGAACCUGGGAGGUGGAGGUGGCAGUAAGCGGAGAUCACGCCACUGUACUCCAGCCUGGUGACAAAGCAAGAGUCCGUAUCAAAAAAAAAAAAAAAAAAAA
rnacentral:lncRNA from 1 species